AAUUCAGUAUCCUGUAGCCGCUGCAUAUGCAACAUUUGACAAGAAUAAGAAGGAUGCAUUAGAUAAACUGCUCUUACAAGGUCUUGAUAUCACGAUCUUAGGUUCCAACGACUUUUACUCAUAUAGGAAUCAGAUUGAAGCACUUGGACUUCCAUUGACACCAGAAGCAUUGGCCACUCUACCACCUUUUACAUCAAUUACUUUCAACUCUGAGGAAUCACAUGGAGGAAAUUGU